UCCUACGGGAGAAAGGGGGCUCCGGCUCCCGCUAUGGGAUGAGCCUAUGUCGGAUUAGCUAGUUGGUGAGGUAACGGCUCACCAAGGCCACGAUCCGUAGCUGGUCUGAGAGGAUGAUCAGCCACAUCGGGACUGAGACACGGCCCGAACUCCUACGGGAGGCAGCAGUGGGGAAUAUUGGACAAUGGGGGAAACCCUGAUCCAGCCAUGCCGCGUGUGUGAAGAAGGCCCUCGGGUUGUAAAGCACUUUCAGCGAGGAAGAACGCCUAGCGGUUAAUACCCGCUAGGAAAGACAUCACUCGCAGAAGAAGCACCGGCUAACUCCGUGCCAGCAGCCGCGGUAAUACGGAGGGUGCAAGCGUUAAUCGGAAUUACUGGGCGUAAAGCGCGCGUAGGUGGCUUGAUAAGCCGGUUGUGAAAGCCCCGGGCUCAACCUGGGAACGGCAUCCGGAACUGUCAAGCUAGAGUGCAGGAGAGGAAGGUAGAAUUCCCGGUGUAGCGGUGAAAUGCGUAGAGAUCGGGAGGAAUACCAGUGGCGAAGGCGGCCUUCUGGACUGACACUGACACUGAGGUGCGAAAGCGUGGGUAGCAAACAGGAUUAGAUACCCUGGUAGUCCACGCCGUAAACGAUGUCGACCAGCCGUUGGGUGCCUAGCGCACUUUGUGGCGAAGUUAACGCGAUAAGUCGACCGCCUGGGGAGUACGGCCGCAAGGUUAAAACUCAAAUGAAUUGACGGGGGCCCGCACAAGCGGUGGAGCAUGUGGUUUAAUUCGAUGCAACGCGAAGAACCUUACCUACUCUUGACAUCCUGCGAAUUUGGUAGAGAUACCUUAGUGCCUUCGGGAACGCAGAGACAGGUGCUGCAUGGCUGUCGUCAGCUCGUGUUGUGAAAUGUUGGGUUAAGUCCCGUAACGAGCGCAACCCUUGUCCUUAUUUGCCAGCGCGUAAUGGCGGGAACUCUAAGGAGACUGCCGGUGACAAACCGGAGGAAGGUGGGGACGACGUCAAGUCAUCAUGGCCCUUACGAGUAGGGCUACACACGUGCUACAAUGGUCGGUACAAAGGGUUGCCAACUCGCGAGAGUGAGCCAAUCCCGAAAAGCCGAUCUCAGUCCGGAUCGGAGUCUGCAACUCGACUCCGUGAAGUC
rnacentral:rRNA from 1 species